UACGUAGGGUGCAAGCGUUAUCCGGAAUUAUUGGGCGUAAAGAGCUCGUAGGCGGUUUGUCGCGUCUGCUGUGAAAACUGGAGGCUCAACCUCCAGCCUGCAGUGGGUACGGGCAGACUAGAGUGCGGUAGGGGAGAUUGGAAUUCCUGGUGUAGCGGUGGAAUGCGCAGAUAUCAGGAGGAACACCGGUGGCGAAGGCGGUUCUCUGGGCCUUACCUGACGCUGAGGAGCGAAAGUGUGGGGAGCGAACAGG
rnacentral:rRNA from 1 species